rnacentral:rRNA from 1 species
GGGCCCGCACAAGCAGCGGAGCGUGUGGUUUAAUUCGACGCAACGCGAAGAACCUUACCAGGGCUUGACAUCCUCGGAACCUAGCUGAAAGGCUGGGGUGCCUGCAAGGGAGCCGGGAGACAGGUGCUGCAUGGCUGUCGUCAGCUCGUGUCGUGAGAUGUUGGGUUAAGUCCCGCAACGAGCGCAACCCUCGUGGCUAGUUAUGCUGUGUCUAGCCAGACUGCCGGGCGCAACCCGGAGGAAGGGGGGGAUGACGUCAAGUCAGCAUGGCCCUUACGUCCUGGGCGACACACACGCUACAAUGGUCGGGACAACGGGCAGCCAAGCCGUAAGGCGGAGCCAAUCCCCAUGAAACCCGAUCUCAGUUCGGAUUGAGGGCUGCAACUCGCCCUCAUGAAGUCGGAGUUGCUAGUAACCGCCGGUCAGCCAUACGGCGGUGAAUAUGUUCCCGGGCCUU